GACGAACGCUGGCGGCGUGCCUAAUACAUGCAAGUAGGACGCAGUUGCGAACGGGUGAGUAACGCGUAGGUAACUGACUAUUAGAGGGGGAUAACUAAUGGAAACGAUAGCUAAUACCGCAUACUAGUAUAUGGACCUGCGUUUGAUUAGCUAGUAGGGAGGGUAAUGGCCUACCUAGGCGACGAUACAUAGCCGACCGUAGAGGAUGAUCGGCCACAUUGGGACUGAGACACGGCCCAGACUCCUACGGGAGGCAGCAGUAGGGAAUCUUCGGCAAUGGGCGGAACCCUGACCGAGCAACGCCGCGUGAGUGAAGACGGUUUUCGGGUCGUAAAGCUCUGUUGUUCAGGAAGCGGUACUUAAAUAGAAAGGAACGGCUAACUCCGUGCCAACAGCCGCGGUAAUAC
rnacentral:rRNA from 1 species